AUGGACUGGUUUUUGACAGCUACCAACUUUUGUAUAAAUAGUAAGUAAAUCUAAUUUUUUUUCUCUCAAAAUUACUUUAGGUAACAUGUUAAUAAAUUGGUUUUUGAGAAUUUUUUUUUUAUAAAGAGGAAACAAAUCUUUUUUUUUUCUUUCACAAAAGUAUCUUAAAUAACUUGUUAGCUGUGUAAUGGACUGAUUUUUUAAAACUAUCAACUUUUAUAUAGAAAAAAU
rnacentral:lncRNA from 1 species